CCCACGAUCUCACCAACAUUUGGCAUCAACACGUCGACCUGCAGAGCAGACAAACAUAUGAUACUCGAGGGAUCCAGAUAACUCACGUCAGCAAAAAGUGCUGUGGGGCUUAAACUUCAGCCACACCGCAGCUGGAUCUGUGAGGUUCGUACCGACUCGGUGAGACGUUUGUCCUCGGUGCAGCGCUGCAUGUAGAAAGAUUUGAUCUCGGCGGGGAAACGACAGAGCAGGAUGGUCUCGUUGAUGGUGUCAGUCAUCAGCCUCUCUGGAGCCUCGGGGAUGUCCUGACAGA